UGGCACACAGUGACUGCCCUGGCUUUCUUUGCUUUGCCUCCUGUCUGUGUUUGAAAUCCCGAAAUCACCGCCUUGAGCUCUGAAGCCCAGCGGCUCCGAGGCUGCAAGCCUCUCCGCUGGCCCCAGAUGUGCAGCAUGCAGCUUGAAUCUCUGAGGACUCUGGUGGUGGAUGCCAACUCCAACUCACAGUGGGAAUCUGGCCCACAGGACCCAGCCUGCCACCCUCCAGGGAGCCGUGGAGAUUUCAGGAUUUCUCCUCUGCGAAAUGGGGAUAACAGCUCCCUCUUCAUCCGGUUAUGGUCAGGGGUAAGUGCGUUGAUGUAGGUUGAAUGCUUGGGCAGAGUAGUGCUUUUUUGUUGUUGACGGCGCAUAUAUUGAGAGCAAAGCACACAAAUCCAAAGUCGAUUGUUUGAUGACUUUUCACGUUGAAUAUACCUGGAUCACCACCUCCCGGAUCAAGAUUGAGAGCAUUCCCGUCACUCCAGAAAGUUUCCGGUUACCGCCCACCUUGUUUCCAGUUACUGCCCACCUCAUUUCUAGUUACUGCCCCCCUCAUUUCUAGUUACUGCCCGCCUGCGUCCCUGCAGAAGAGAUAACCACGAUUCUGACUUCUUUGACGGUAGAUUUCUUUAGUUCAUGCUUGACUUUCUAUUGUUUUAUUUUUAUUUUUGUAUUUUUAGAGACAGGGUCUCACUUUGUCACCCAGGCUGGAGUGCAAUGGUGUGAUCAUGGCUUACUUCAGCCUCCAUCUCCCCUGGGCUCAAGUGAUCCUCCCACCCCAGCCUCUCAAGUAGCUGGGACUACAGGUGCGUGCCACCACGCCCAACUAAUUUUUUAAUUUUUUGUAGAGACGAGGUCUUGCUAUGUUGCCCAGGCUGGUCUUGAACUCCUGGGUUCAAGCUCCCACCAUGUCCUUCCAAAGUGCCGGGAUUAUAGGCAUGAAUCAAGGCACCUAGGCUUGAUGUUCUGUAAACAGAAUCCUGCGGUAUGUAUUCUUUUGGGUCUGACUUCUU
rnacentral:lncRNA from 1 species